rnacentral:lncRNA from 1 species
UUUUUUUUUUUUUUUUUUUUUUUUUUGUCUUUUUAGGGCCUCACUUGUGGCAUAUGGAAGUUCCCAGGCUAGGGGCUAAAUCAGAGAUACAACUGCCGGCCUAUGCCACAGCCACAGCAAAAUGCAAUUCUGCCGUGUCUGUGACCUACACCACAGCUCAUGGCAACUCUGGGUCCUUAACCCACUGAGGGAGGCCAGGGGUUGAACCAGCAUCCUCACAGAUACUAGUUGGGUUCUUUACUACUGAGCCACAAUGGGAACGCCCCAAAUUUUCCUCUUCUUAUAAGGAUAUCAAUUACAUUGGAUUAAGGCCCAUUCCAAAGACAGCAUCCAAACUUGAUUAAACCUGCAAAGACCGUAUUUUCAAAUAAAGUGACAUUCACAUGUGGUUAAGCCAUAGAUAGAUAGAUAGAUAAUAGAUGAUAGGUAGGUAGAUAGAUAGAUAUGUAGUAAAGAAUUAAUAUUCUUAUCAACAAGCCUCAGUUUUUAUCUAUACAACAGAUAUAAUAAAACUGCCCUCAUAUGAUUGCUGUGAGGAUGAAAUAUGUGAACGAAUCUAGCAUGAGGCAGAAUUAGCUAUAUGGUUGAUGCUUGUAUUAAUAACUCAGGUAACUAUUUUCAGGUAGUAGUUACCUAACUCAGGUAACUAUUUUCAGAAGUAGUUUCAGGAAAGGAUUUUCAUUGUGUUCUAUAUAUCUAUAUGAUUCUAAAUACCACGUCAUCAAUUUAAAACAAAGCUUUAAGUCUCAUGGAUAUGGCCAAAAGAAGUACAUGAUUCAGAAAAGGCAUUAGGUUGCACUAGAACUUUCUUUAGCCUUGGAGUAUUCUACUAGAGAACAAAUAUAUAGAAUACUUGCAAAGUUAAUGUCUGGGGAUUCUGUUUUCCCCCUCUGUAAUAGUCCUAACUGUAUUUACACCAUAAGGCAGCAUUAGAUUUUUGGCUAAUUGCUGAAUUAGAUAAAUCUGGUGGCUUACGGCUUUCUUCUAUUUUCUUCUCUCACUAUUGGAUGUUUGGCUUUUAACGUUCUGGACAAUCACCUGUACUUCCCACUUUUCUUUGCCAAUUGGCACCAGCACAUUCAAAGUUAAAUUUAAUGCAAAGACAUCAUCUGGCACAUUUCUCUAAUCUCAAAAAGGUAAAUUCCCAAACCUCAGUUGAAGUAUUUCUAUUUUAGCCUGAAUUUUCAAGAUAAUUGCCUCCUCAUGUCUCCACUUAAUUUGGCUUGUGCAGAUACAAUCACAUGAACAAAUACAUGUUAAUGGAAAGCCUUCUUAGCUGUCAGUGAGUUGGACAUCCAUUGGGGAUGGUAUAUGGGAGCUCUGGAAUUUAUAAUCCUUUCCACUCUGCCAUUAAUUAAAAGUGCCCCAGAGACAGAUUGGGAGUGACCCAGGGUGAAGGGGUUGAAGGUUAAGCCUUUUAGCUUUGAGCCUCCAGUUUGAAUCUGAUCUAAGCUGGUAAUAAAUAAGAGCUACUGCUAUUUGAUAUCAGUUUGGUGAAUCAUGUGAAAUGAAUUAGUAAUCUCAGGCUUGUUCUGGUGGACAGGUGUCCUCAUACAGUGGGAGCUGAUAGCCUUUGCUGAAGAACCCAACAACCUGAAAAAGAUGGAAAUAAAAUGGCUUCACAAAUAUUCUCUUACCUUGCUAAGAUUGCUGUUCAGUAACAUGGAAAAGUAAGAAACCUUAGGAUUCCAUAUGCCCAGCUUGUAAAUGGCUAUGGGAAUAAAAGGGAUCAGGAUGGGCUUAAUAAGACCCAGAGAGUGGGUCAAAUGGGAAUCAGGUGGUGGGUCUAAGAGAAAUUUAAUAUCCUUGGCUUCUCAUUUUUUCCCCCUUUCUGUUUGGUUGUCAUGGGAAUCUGUAUUUGUGGAAGAAAUACUGACUGCAUUUGCCCAGGGCAGAUGUAUGUACCCUCUAGCCUUCAAAUUUAGCAUUACUAGGACAGAAGGAUUUGUGGCUGGAUAGAAUGAAGGAGAGUCAUACCGGUAAUUCUGGCAGGCAAAAUAAAACAUUGCAAGCAUUAAAAAAAAUUUUUUUUUCCAAAAGAUAUCAUGUACUGAAUUGAAAUAAGAUCAAAACUUGUUUUACUAAACUGAGGAAGGCUAUUUAGAGCUUAGUUUAACUCAAAUUUUGUUAUUAGGAUUAAUCCAGUAGUACUUUCACCCAUGUUUUAAAUGUAUAUUGAGGAAGAACUGCAUUUUUUUUUUUAAUAAUAGAAAAAAAAAAUGGGGAAGCCCUGAGGAAUUAAGUGGAGGAAAAAGACAUCCAACCUUCAAUGUACUUAACUUUAUUUUUCUUUUUGUGAAAGAAAAUAUGAAUCAUUAAUAUCAACUACAUCUUGCUGGUUUUAGUAAGCUUCAACAGGCAAAAUGUACUAGUUCUUUCUGAAUCAGGUUUGUGAAGUUAUUUGUGCAUGUGUGUAUGUGGGUAUGUGAAGUACCAGCUUUGUGCAUAUACAAUAGUGCUAAAGAAAUCAUAAUGUUUUCCUUAGCACUUUUUAUCUGACAGAGUCUUUGAAAAUAAAUUCAUCAGAUUGUGGUGAGUAAUACCUUUGGCUAAGGUCUAAACACUACAAACAUGAUGAACCUAUGAAUAUGUUUUCUUGAUUUUCUUCUUUAAAAUGUCUUAACUUGCUAUUGUUCCUCUUUGUAACUCAUCCCAAACCAAGUAAUUCCAUUUUGUUUCUGUUUGUUUAGUGAUUACAUCAUGUUGCCAUUAUAAAAGAGUCCCAUUACCUGAGUCUGGAACUUUUAAAAACUCCUUUUUCCGUCUCUUCAUCCCCCCAUCCUGGCAAACUGCUCUUUCAUUUCCUGCCAGGUAGAUAAUCUAAUAAAUGCUUUCACAUCAAAGGUUAAUGCCUGAUUAUGGAUUAAAUAUGAAAGCUGAGCCACAAUGAAUAGUCUGUAUUUGUUUCUGACAUAGAAUAGUAGUUUCUUCAUAUGGUUCCGCCUAUGACUCCUUAAUUUGCAUUUAAGAACAAAACUGCAUUGGUUUCUCAUGGUAACAUUAGGGGAUUAGAGUCAUGGCAGUCAGUGACAACAAUAGUUUGGGGAAUAGAAAUCCUUUACUGAGAGUUCCCAUCAUGGCUCAGUGGAAGGGAACCCAACUAGUAUCCUUGAGGACCCGGGUUCGAUCCACGGCCUUGCUCAGUGGGUUAAGGAUCCAGCCUUGGUUGCCAUGAGCUGUGGUGUGAGUCACAGACGUGGCUGUGGCAUAAGCCAGGAGCUACAGCACCGAUUCAACCCCUAUCCUGGGAACUUCCAUAGACUGAGAGUUCAGCCCUAAAAAGACACACACACACAC